rnacentral:ribozyme from 1 species
UGCCCAGCAACUCCUAUCCCUACCUCCUCGUGGUACUGGCUGGGUUACGAGUAACCUUAGGGAAGAUCGGGUAGCGGUGGGAGCUUUGGUCGUAUGCUGACAGGGAGGG